rnacentral:misc_RNA from 1 species
CCAGUCUACUAAUAAGCAAAAUUAUAACGCUGAUUCACUGAUUCACAUCUUGUUUCAUGCAGUCAACUGUGAAGUUUGUUUACGCCGUUCACGUCAAUUGCUCUGAAUCGCUAUAUACAUCUAUUUAACUAAAUAACUUUACAGCAAAAAAUGGUGAGGGUUUGCUGCAUUAAAGGGUGUAAAAACUCUUCGGACACUGUCUGCAGCUACUCAUUCUUCGUUUUCCCAUAUAACAACGAAAAGCUUAAAAAAUUAUGGCUCAACAGUGGGCCUGGAUAUAAAACUAUAUCCAAGUAUUCAUACAUUUGUUCAUACCACUUUUUCCCGGAGGAUUAUGUGGAACACAAACACACUGCCAGAAGAACAUUAAAAAAGAAUGCAGUACCCAGCAUAUUUCAUGACAAUGUACCUAAGAGUGCUGUUCCUCAGAUGAGUAACCUACCAAACUACAGCUUCCAAUAUGAUACUUCACCAUCACCACCAAUAAAAUAUGAACAAAGUGAAGAAGAUGAUAAAAAGUCCAACAAAAUGUUUUGCGGCACGGCAGUACAAACUUGUUCACAACUUAGUGGACUAAGCGUGUCUGUACAAACUUGUACACGACUCAGUGGACCAAGUAAUCGCGAACAAGAACUAGUCCGUAAAAUAAAACUUCUGCAAGAUCGAUUGAGGUAUAAAAAAAAAAGGAUUCAAAGAUUCCAGGACUUGGUAACACAUCUGAAAAAAACAGGUAUGACGAAAGUACAAUCAAUGAAGCAGAUGAUAGCACAGAAGCGGAUUAACAAACAAUGAAUAGUCUAUUCCAAAUAUUGGCAACAAACUAUUAUACAACAAAUUGUAUAAUAUUUUUAAUGCUGCUAAAUUGUGCAAACGAUAAGAAUCUUAUAGCAAAGAUAUCGAUCUGGUAGUGCAAUCAACGAUGACAGUUGAUGGUCAUAUGAGUAAUUGACCGUGAAGGCUAGUCGAAUAUUCUGAAGAUGCCUAAGCGACGAGUAACAGAGUCGGCUAGACAACAGACAGAGACAGCAGGAGUUUGCAAGCACACAAUUAAAAGUAAUUCACGGACGGACGCGCAAAUGAUGCGAGCAGCUGCGGGGUACCGUGGCCAGCAGAAGCCUUAGCAUAAAUAGGGAUGCAGCAGGGCACACUUCAGCGGAUUGGCAGCUCCACUGUCUCACUACGUCAGAACUGAGCAGUUUUCAUUGCAAGGCUGUAGCUACAUUUAGUCAUUUUCUAUUAUUGAAUCUUGGUGAGCGGUCAAUUAUAUAUAAACGUAUUUUUUGUUAACGUUUCGGCCCGGAUAUGGGCCCUCCUCAGAACGAUUUAUUUAUUUAACUGUCAAGAACAAAAUAAGAUUUUUUAUAAGAAAAGUACAACAGACAUUAAAUACUGUAGGUGUAAUACUCUUAAGGUUAUUGCAUAUUAUGGGUUAGUGAGUAGAAUUUUAAAAUUAAACCAGUAAAAACCUGGUCUCAAAGAUAUUUGAAUUUUAAUUCCCGCCACCCGAUGUCCUACAAAAUAGGCACCAUCUUUAAUUAAUCUUGUUGACCGAGCCAUCAAACUUUUAAGUACAGAAUUCCAUGAAAAAAAUCUGUCACUCAUAUAUAAUAUAUUAAGAUGGAAUGAUUAUCCUCACGGCCUAUUACAUAAACAUAUAAGUAAGAGACGCUCCCAUAUCCACAACUUACUUGACAAUAACAUUGACUCUGCUUCCGCAGACGACAAUAGACCUGCCACUACAUUUAUUCCCAUCCCAUGCGUAUCUGGUCUCUUUGAGUCACUGAACCGUCUAUUUACCAAACACAAUGUCAAGUUUGUAGGAAAAAAAUCAAAAAACUUACAAAUAAUCUUUGAUUCGGGAAAAGAUAGGAUCCCCAUGGGCAAACGAUCCAAUGUUGUGUACAAAAUACCGUGCAAUGAUUGCAAUCAAGUUUAUAUCGGACAAACUGGCCGCCACCUAAACACCAGAAUCAAAGAACAUCAACGCAAUGUACAUGAGAAUGAAGAACGUCACACUGCUCUAACAAAACAUGUGACCAAUAAACAACAUACUUUUAGCUACGACAAUACAAACAUCCUUUGUGAAGAACCUAAUUAUUAUAAAAGGUUAUUACUAGAAAUGUGCAAUAUUGUAGGACACACUAAUUCCGUUAACCUUAGACAAGAUGUUGAACAUCUUAGUAAUAUUUACAAACCGCUAAUCCCCGACCACAUAUCACAUAUUGUUUAACCUUAACUAUACACAUAAAAUUAUUGUCCCCAUGGCACAGUUUUAUUUACAUAAUUUUUUUGUUUUUUAUGUACAUAUGUUUAUAUCUGGUUCACCUUCACUCUGGGUCAUGUUUGUUUCUCCCAUCAGUCGUUAUUCACUAGUUGACCCAACCGGUUCAACAAAACUAUUGUUAGACAUAGAGAACAGAGUCAUAAAGAUCCCAGUACCACUUUCUUGGACAUUGAGUAAACUAAUUUAACUGCUAUAAAAACCUUCUUUAAAACCUUUUUAUUACAUUGACCUAUAGACAGUGAAGAUACAUAGUUUUUUUAAUCUUUUUAAUUAAUUACCUCAAAUUUGUAACUCCUACACUUUAAACAACCGGAGGAGCUGACAAUGACUACCGUUACUUGAAGAACGUUGUCUCGACAAAUUGUAUUUUAUGAAUUCGACUGUAUCUUAGUCCCCUUACUAUAAAAAGGUAAAUUACUCUCUAAGCCUAUUUUUUUUCAAUUAAUCGAAAUUGUACUCACUAACCCAUAAUAUACAAUAGCCUUAAGAGUAUUACACCUACAGUAUUUAAUGUCUGAUUGUACUUUUUUUAUAAAAAAUCUUAUUUUGUUCUUGACAGUUAAAUAAAUAAAUCGUUCUGAGGAGGGCCUAUAUCCGGGCCGAAACGUUAACAAAAAAUACGUUUAUAUAUAAUUGACGGCUCACCAAGAUUCAAUAAGAGAUUACACACGAGGUCGAGAAUUCUUACCCUUCAUAUUUAGUCAUUUUCGGGACUUGGAAAAUUUAGGCAUUUUGCUUUUCAACACUUGAGCGAAUAUAGAGUCGGCAGAGCCGGCAUCUUAGAACUCCCUUCUGUUUGAUAAACUUAAAAUAUUCUCCUAAAGCACGAAAUAAUUCAAACACCGAAUUAAAACUUAAACUUUUCGCGCACAGCACCAAAUAGUAUAAUUUGAAAAACUUGUUUGAUAAAAUUUUAUAAAAUUUACUAAUUCAGGAGCAGAACCUAUAAAUUCUUUAGAAUUUAUUUCCUUUAUUUUUAUGUUUCAAUCUUUUUUGUGAAACUUUAUUUUUGAUUUAUUUUAUGUUAUAUUUUGUAUCAGUGUUACAAUUGUCGUUUUAUAUUAAAACCUUUCUUAAACGUAUCUGUUUGCUAGACAGAAUCUUUCAUUUCGUGAUAUUGAUCAGGUUAAUUAUCCCUGGUCUGAUGUUGUAAAAAAAUCGUAAGGAAAGUCAAGCUAGGCACGUCCAGAUAUGGUUUCAUACCCUAUUCUGAGGAUGAAGGUAGCUCUAACCAGUUAACCAACCACCCGAGUCAGAUCCAAAACUUAGAUGUUCAGGGUGUUUUUCAGAUCGACAAACUCGACCCUUUUUUUUCAGCAACUAAGACCUAUCCUUUAAAUUUAAUUAUUUUAUCGCCUUUAAUUAACAAAAGGCAAAAACAGUCACGAUAAUAUGAGUUUUUUACAAACCUAAACGCUUCAAAAAACGCCAAAGGUAUACAAACUUGAAUUAUUUUGGGUGACAACUGAACCCUACUUGUUUUACAACACUUAUACCGACAUUUUUUCAAAUUAUUUAUAUUUACAAUUUAUAAAUUCGUAUAACAUCAACAGAUAUACUUCUACGCUUUUAAUGAAUAAUUCAAUACGUAUUUCCUCCUAGUUAUGCUCAGGUAUAUUAUUCCCGAUUCAUUUCAGUUCUAAUGAGUCAGGGUCUUUGGAUAUAUUGAAAAACACACCAAACUACCACUUCUUAAAUCGCAAGUAUGCAUACAAGUUAUAUACAUCAUAAUACAAACAUAAAGUAAACGCUUACGAAAAGGGUGUAUAAGCUGGUAUAAGAUUUUUGAAAGACUACUGAUGCGAGAGAGAUAGCACUUCGCCUCCAAGCUAUUUCUCUCUUUCUCUCUCUCUUUCUUCGAAAAGCCAGCAGUACAGCUAGCCAUGCGAGUGAUCGUUCCAAUAUUAUUAUAUUCCAGUGGUCUAAAUGCUUCUUAAAGACUAGUUUUCCCAUUGAUUAGUCUGAAGUAUCCGUUUUGCGAUUGACCAAAUCAUUUGAAGAUGAAGUACGCCCACCCAAGGUGACACUUAUGAACGUCCAGAACGUUUUAUGGGUUCUUCAAACAGUAAAGCCUUGCUUUCUGAAAACAUUACAUGUUGCAGCUAUGGAGGGUAAAAGUAAGAAGUAGUAUCUCAUAUGGUUUUGAACUGAAAAAGUGUCCACUAUAAAGCGACAAAUAGUGGUUCAACAAGUCACCAAAAUGGCGCUAGUAAGCCAUCAGGGUUCAUUCUGAUUAACACUUUCUUUUAAAUGUGGAACUUUCGUCAUAGUAACACCAUCUCAAUUGUACUCUAUUUUAUAAACACUUUCUAUACAUAGAGAUAAUCGUUCUUACCUCUACCCUCCGUAGUUGCAACGAUAAGACCAUUUUGUCUUAAGAGAGGAUUUUAUUUUUGAAUGUAGUUUCAAGGAAAAAAGAUGCGGUAUCAUGAAACCCAGCAGAAACGAAAAUAAUCAAUAUUUUUUCGCCUCCUGCAGUUGUUUCGAAGAUAUAUCAACAGAUAUUCACAUAGUGGUGAGAAUUCGGUUCAAACUGCGCAAUGUGGCUAGCUAUUUGCUUACCCUGCGUGUAGCACCGCUGCACACUCGAGCGCGAUCUUCAAUUGUUACGCGUGUUGUUUAUAACCUCAGUCAUCAUUUAUUACGAUUCCUGACAUGAUAUGUGAGUUUCGUACUGCCGGACAAUAUUUUUUAAACAUAUUCAUCCAAGGAACCUGGUGGAUGCUGCGGGAUUAGCGAAAAGGCUAAACUUAUCUUCUCCAAGUAGGCUUCUGCACGUUAAUCAUAAUAUUCUUAGCAUUAGAAUGCAUAAGAGUGACGUAAAUCAUCGAUCACGAUCAGUUACAGAUCGCUUAAGCAUGUUGCCAAACAACAAUGCGCAUUGGCUCAAUCUUACUCCAACAUCCAUCUCAGAUUUCAAACGGCUGGCGCGAGAUGCACUUUUUAGUUUCGAAUUAUCUAGAUUGGCAUGCUAUUAUUGCACCCAUUUUGUGCUACUUGUCAUAAUUCUUCAGUCAUUCACUGUGUAUGUCAGGGUAAUUUCUUGACUAUUAUAUCUUUGUAAAAAGGCAUUACCCAUGCAUAAUAAAUGAAUAAAUAAAGAUUUAUUUUUAUGGGACUCAAACCUAAUAGUUCAAUUUUCAAAUCGCAAAAAAGAAGCUGUAUACCAAAAUUUGGUGAAUUAUGUGUAAUAUGAUCAAUAAUAUUGGAUUUGUUCCCCAUUUCUUAUCACCAAGUUUGAUAGGAAUUGAUUUCAAUUGAAUUUUUGCACAAAACUCUAAUUGCAAAUC